rnacentral:rRNA from 1 species
GACGAACGCUGGCGGCGUGCUUAACACAUGCAAGUCGAACGAUGAAGCCGGAGCUUGCUCUGGUGAAUUAGUGGCGAACGGGUGAGUAACACGUGAGUAACCUGCCCUUGACUCUGGGAUAACUGCGGGAAACUGUAGCUAAUACCGGAUACGACCCUCGGAGGCAUCUCCUGGGGGUGGAAAGAAUUUCGGUCAAGGAUGGACUCGCGGCCUAUCAGCUAGUUGGUGAGGUAAAGGCUCACCAAGGCGACGACGGGUAGCCGGCCUGAGAGGGUGACCGGCCACACUGGGACUGAGACACGGCCCAGACUCCUACGGGAGGCAGCAGUGGGGAAUAUUGCACAAGGGGCGCAAGCCUGAUGCAGCAACGCCGCGUGAGGGAUGAAGGCCUUCGGGUUGUAAACCUCUUUUAGCAGGGAAGAAGCGAAAGUGACGGUACCUGCAGAAAAAGCACCGGCUAACUACGUGCCAGCAGCCGCCGUAA